AUUGAACGCUGGCGGCAGGCCUAACACAUGCAAGUCGAGCGGCAGCGGGAAAGUAGCUUGCUACUUUUGCCGGCGAGCGGCGGACGGGUGAGUAAUGCCUGGGAAAUUGCCCAGUCGAGGGGGAUAACAGUUGGAAACGACUGCUAAUACCACAUACGCCCUACGGGGGAAAGCAGGGGACCUUCGGGCCUUGCGCGAUUGGAUAUGCCCAGGUGGGAUUAGCUAGUUGGUGAGGUAAUGACUCACCAAGGCGACGAUCCCUAGCUGGUCUGAGAGGAUGAUCAGCCACACUGGAACUGAGACACGGUCCAGACUCCUACGGGAGGCAGCAGUGGGGAAUAUUGCACAAUGGGGGAAACCCUGAUGCAGCCAUGCCGCGUGUGUGAAGAAGGCCUUCGGGUUGUAAAGCACUUUCAGCGAGGAGGAAAGGUUGAUGCUUAAUACGUAUCAACUGUGACGUUACUCGCAGAAGAAGCACCGGCUAACUCCGUGCCAGCAGCCGCCGUAA
rnacentral:rRNA from 1 species